CCGACCUCAGAUCAGGCGAGACCACCCGCUGAGUUUAAGCAUAUCACUAAGCGGAGGAAAAGAAACUAACAAGGAUUCCCUUAGUAGCGGCGAGCGAACCGGGAAGA
rnacentral:rRNA from 1 species